rnacentral:rRNA from 1 species
AGGACUAGCGGCGGACGGGUGAGUAACACGUGAGUAACCUGCCUUAGACAUUGGGAUAGCCUCGGGAAACCGGGAUUAAUACCAAAUAAAAUCAUAAUGACACAUGUCAUAACGAUCAAAACUCCGGUGGUCUAAGAUGGACUCGCGUCCCAUUAGCUAAUUGGUAGAGUAAAAGCCUACCAAGGCGACGAUGGGUAGCCGGCCUGAGAGGGUGAACGGCCACAUUGGAACUGAGAAACGGUCCAA